rnacentral:rRNA from 1 species
GCCGCGGUAAUACGGAGGAUGCGAGCGUUAUCCGGAUUUAUUGGGUUUAAAGGGUGCGUAGGCGGAUAGAUAAGUCAGUGGUGAAAUUCUGCAGCUUAACUGUAGACUUGCCGUUGAUACUGUCAGUCUUGAGUAUGGUCAAGGCAGGCGGAAUGUGUAAUGUAGCGGUGAAAUGCUUAGAUAUUACACAGAACACCGAUUGCGAAGGCAGCUUGCUGGGCCAUUACUGACGCUGAUGCACGAAAGCGUGGGGAUCGAACAGGAUUAGAUACCCUGGUAGUCCACGCCGUAAACGAUGAUCACUCGCUGUUGGCGAUACACAGUCAGCGGCUAAGCAAAAGCAUUAAGUGAUCCACCUGGGGAGUACGGCCGCAAGGCUGAAACUCAAAGGAAUUGACGGGGGCCCGCACAAGCGGAGGAACAUGUGGUUUAAUUCGAUGAUACGCGAGGAACCUUACCUGGGCUUAAAUGUAGAGUGCAUUGGUGAGAAAUCAUCAUUUUCUUCGGAACUCUCUGCAAGGUGCUGCAUGGUUGUCGUCAGCUCGUGCCGUGAGGUGUCGGGUUAAGUCCCAUAACGAGCGCAACCCUUAUCGUUAGUUGCCAGCGGGUAAUGCCGGGGACUCUAGCGAAACUGCCGGUGUAAACCGAGAGGAAGGUGGGGAUGACGUCAAAUCAGCACGGCCCUUAUGUCCAGGGCUACACACGUGUUACAAUGGCCGGUACAGAGGGCAGCUACCUGGAGACAGGAUGCGAAUCUCGAAAGCCGGUCUCAGUUCGGAUCGGAGUCUGCAACUCGACUCCGUGAAGCUGGAUUCGCUAGUAAUCGCGCAUCAGCCAUGGCGCGGUGAAUACGUUCCCGGGCCUUGUACACACCGCCCAU